rnacentral:rRNA from 1 species
AGUGAACGCUGGCGGUAGGCCUAACACAUGCAAGUCGAACGGCAGCACAGUAAGAGCUUGCUCUUACGGGUGGCGAGUGGCGGACGGGUGAGGAAUACAUCGGAAUCUACUUUUUCGUGGGGGAUAACGUAGGGAAACUUACGCUAAUACCGCAUAAGACCUACGGGUGAAAGCAGGGGAUCUUCGGACCUUGCGCGAUUGAAUGAGCCGAUGUCGGAUUAGCUAGUUGGCGGGGUAAAGGCCCACCAAGGCGACGAUCCGUAGCUGGUCUGAGAGGAUGAUCAGCCACACUGGAACUGAGACACGGUCCAGACUCCUACGGGAGGCAGCAGUGGGGAAUAUUGGACAAAGGGCGCAAGCCUGAUCCAGCCAUACCGCGUGGGUGAAGAAGGCCUUCGGGUUGUAAAGCCCUUUUGUUGGGAAAGAAAAGCAGCAGGUUAAUACCCCGCUGUUCUGACGGUACCCAAAGAAUAAGCACCGGCUAACUUCGUG